AGUCGAGCGGACAGAUGGGAGCUUGCUCCCUGAUGUUAGCGGCGGACGGGUGAGUAACACGUGGGUAACCUGCCUGUAAGACUGGGAUAACUCCGGGAAACCGGGGCUAAUACCGGAUGGUUGUUUGAACCGCAUGGUUCAGACAUAAAAGGUGGCUUCGGCUACCACUUACAGAUGGACCCGCGGCGCAUUAGCUAGUUGGUGAGGUAACGGCUCACCAAGGCAACGAUGCGUAGCCGACCUGAGAGGGUGAUCGGCCACACUGGGACUGAGACACGGCCCAGACUCCUACGGGAGGCAGCAGUAGGGAAUCUUCCGCAAUGGACGAAAGUCUGACGGAGCAACGCCGCGUGAGUGAUGAAGGUUUUCGGAUCGUAAAGCUCUGUUGUUAGGGAAGAACAAGUGCCGUUCAAAUAGGGCGGCACCUUGACGGUACCUAACCAGAAAGCCACGGCUAACUACGUGCCAGCAGCCGCGGUAAUACGUAGGUGGCAAGCGUUGUCCGGAAUUAUUGGGCGUAAAGGGCUCGCAGGCGGUUUCUUAAGUCUGAUGUGAAAGCCCCCGGCUCAACCGGGGAGGGUCAUUG
rnacentral:rRNA from 2 species